CUGGGCGAAUUCAACGAAAAUUAAACGGCAAUUUUCAACACGUUGAUAUAUUUAUAUUUGUUCAUGCUUUGGGAGCAGAGGGUCGCUGGUUCGAAUCCAGUCGCCCCGA
rnacentral:tRNA from 1 species